rnacentral:rRNA from 1 species
AGAGUUUGAUCCUGGCUCAGAAUCAACGCUGGCGGCGCGCCUAACACAUGCAAGUCGAACGAGAAAGUGGAGCAAUCCAUGAGUAAAGUGGCGUACGGGUGAGUAACACGUGGGUGAUCUACCUCUUAGUGAGGAAUAACCCUGGGAAACCGGGGCUAAUACCGCAUAAGCCUUAGCAGGGAAAGUCGAAGGACGCUGAGAGAGGAGCCCGCGGCCGAUUAGCUAGUUGGUGAGGUAAGAGCCCACCAAGGCAGAGAUCGGUAGCCGGCCUGAGAGGGCACACGGCCACACUGGCACUGAAACACGGGCCAGACUCCUACGGGAGGCAGCAGUGGGGAAUCUUGCACAAUGGGGGAAACCCUGAUGCAGCGACGCCGCGUGAGCGAUGAAGCCCUUCGGGGUGUAAAGCUCUUUCGUCAGGGAAGAUAGUGACGGUACCUGGAGAAGCAGCUGCGGCUAACUACGUGCCAGCAGCCGCGGUAAUACGUAGGCAGCAAGCGUUGUUCGGAGUUACUGGGCGUAAAGGGUGUGUAGGCGGUUCUUUAAGUUUGGUGUGAAAUCUCCCGGCUCAACCGGGAGGGUGCGCCGAAUACUGAGGGACUAGAGUGUGGGAGAGGAAAGUGGAAUUCCUGGUGUAGCGGUGAAAUGCGUAGAUAUCAGGAGGAACACCGGUGGUGUAGACGGCUUUCUGGACCAUAACUGACGCUGAGACACGAAAGCGUGGGUAGCAAACAGGAUUAGAUACCCUAGUAGUCC